rnacentral:tRNA from 1 species
UCUCUGGUGGUCCAGUGGCUAAGACUCCACGCUCCUAAUGCAGGGGACCCAGGUUUGAUUCCUGGUCAAGGAA